rnacentral:rRNA from 31 species
UUGACCUCAAAUCAGGUAGGACUACCCGCUGAACUUA